rnacentral:lncRNA from 1 species
GGGAGAAAGAUUUAAACUUCACUGUUGCCGAAAAUUUCUUCAUCGAUAUCUAGCACUUGGGACCCUGAAUCACUCCCUGAAGUACGAGAUAUUUGAUUUGACAUUGACGGUAGAAAUUGCAAGGAGAUAGCCUUAAUUUCUUUUUCAAAUUUUGUACAUGCCAACAUUGCUAACAUUUUGGAUUUUUGAGCCAAGAAAAAAAGUUAUCUCUGGAGUUUGGUUUGGUGUUUUGUUAAGUGUUUGAAUUUUUGAAUUUUGUUCCAUUAUCCAGGUAAGAAUAUUUGACGGAUAAAGGUUUGAGCGAAUUUUGUAUUUAUCCCACCAUUUGACUCUAAAUUUUCUUCGAAUAACAGGAAUUAGAUCAGAAGUAAAUUCAAGGGUCCAUGAAAAUACCCAAAGAAAAUGAAAUUUUGAGUGUAAGAGGGAUAGUGGGGGAAAUUACUUUUCACCUUCGGAUGGAAUG